rnacentral:misc_RNA from 1 species
CAUGCCUUCACAAGAACAAAAUUAGAAGCAAAUUAUUUUCUCUAGAAUAAUAUUCAACUGAAAUGAUGAUUAGUCUCACUAAUAAAUGGCAUAUUAUAGGGCCAUUUGAAUUUUGAACCCCUUCAAAAUGGAAUUGACCACAUCAUAGUGAGAAAGAGCAGAAAGCCAGAAACUAGUUAGGAUUCCAGAUGGAAAAGCCACAAUGAUUACACGUACCUGUGAAAAGUGUUCUCUUUGGUUGAAUUUUCCGCACUUCAUCUAACGCCCUUGGAAGUCCAAAAUGUGUUGAAGAAGA